rnacentral:rRNA from 1 species
CCCUUAGAUGUUCUGGGCUGCACGCGCGCUACACUGAAGCGUUCAACGAGUAUUCACCUUGCCCGGGAGGGUUGGGUAAUCUUUUGAAAACGCUUCGUGAUGGGGAUAGAUUAUUGCAAUUAUUAAUCUUCAACGAGGAAUUCCUAGUAAGCGCGAGUCAUCAGCUCGUGCUGAUUACGUCCCUGCCCUUUGUACACACCGCCCGUCGCUCCUACCGAUUGAAUGAUCCGAUGAAUACCAUGGAUUGAGAGUACGAAUAGGUUCGCUUAUUUCUGCUUCUCGAGAAGUGGAGUAAAUCUUAUCAUUUAGAGGAAGGAGAAGUCGUAACA